rnacentral:rRNA from 1 species
UAACAAAAACAUUUCUAUUAGAUUUUAUUAAUAGUAUAAUCUGCUCAAUGAUAUUAAAUAGCCGCUAUUACUGUGCUAAGGUAGCAUAAUCAUUUGUCUUUUAAUUAAAGACUAGAACAAAAGAUUGAACAUUUUAAUUAAUAUAUCCAAACUAAUUAAUUAAAUUUAUUUUAAAUGUAAAAAAACAUUUAUAAAUUAGAAAGACGAUAAGACCCUAUUAAACUUAACUUAAGUUAAACUGGGGCAGUUAAUUAAUUAUCAUUUUAAUUUAAAUACAAAAACAAAUAGAUCCUAUAAAAUAGAUUAAAUGAUCAAGUUACUAUAGGGAUAACAGCGUAAUAUUAAUUAAAAGACCUUAUUAAAAUAAAAGAUUACGACCUCGAUGUUGAAUUAAUAACCUAUAUAGUUGCUAAUAAACAAUAAAGG